rnacentral:misc_RNA from 1 species
AAGUCGUAACAAGGUUUCCGUAGGUGAACCUGCGGAAGGAUCAUUAACAAAACAAAAUGUAAUAUACAUUCUAUUAUAUACGAGCAAUGCAGUCUCUAUGGACUGACAUAAUAAACAUAUGAUUUAGUAGUUCUACCAAAUACUAAUAUACAACUUUUAACAAUGGAUCUCUUGGCUCUC